CCAAUAGCGUAUAUUAAAGUUGUUGCAGUUAAAAAGCUCGUAGUUGAAUUUCGGGAUCAGUUCGCUGGUCGUGCCUCUGGUAUGUACUGGUGUUACUGGUUCCUCCCUUCUGACGAACUGUCAUGUCAUUUAUUUGGUGUGGCAGGGAAUCAGGACUGUUACUUUGAAAAAAUUAGAGUGUUUAAAGCAGGCUCGCGCUUGAAUACAUUAGCAUGGAAUAAUGAAAUAGGACGUUCGAUCCUAUUUUGUUGGUUUCUAGGAUUGACGUAAUGAUUAAUAGGGAUAGUUGGGUGCAUUAGUAUUCAAUUGUCAGAGGUGAAAUUCUUGGAUUUAUUGAAGACUAACUACUGCGAAAGCAUUUGCCAAGGAUGUUUUCAUUAAUCAAGAACGAAAGUUAGGGGAUCGAAGACGAUCAGAUACCGUCGUAGUCUUAACCAUGAACUAUGCCGACUAGGGAUCGGAUGAUGUUAUUUUUAAUGACUCAUUCGGCGCCUUAC
rnacentral:rRNA from 1 species